rnacentral:antisense_RNA from 1 species
AAACUUGUUUCCUGCAGGUGAUGGUUCAUGACAAUAUCGACACCAGUGAUUACUGUGCUUUCGGUACCUUCGCCCUCGGGGCCUUCAGCGGAGGCAUUUCCACCAAUGAGCGAGUCAUCAAUGUUACCUUCUGUCCUACUGACCAUCUGCCAUUAAGAAAAAGCAGUAUAGUUGCAAAAGACACAAACGCAUCCAAAGCACCUUCCACGCCAAUAGGUCACGGAUAAGACGUAUUCUUAGUUCUUGCUGAAAAUAAAAAAAGCACCAUUUUGGGAAUAAAGUUGUGACCCGUGGAUUUCUCAAAACGGCCUAACUUAAAAGAGUUGUCUGUUGGCCGGAACAAAAAAUGGGGUCAUUAAAAAGUUGUUUCCAGUUGCGGGCACGUGGUGCCUCUGGUUGGUAAGUAGGGACAGGGCAAACACGAAAGGGCUCGGGGCUCCUGGAGGCAUCAUGUCCCGGUAGAUAAUCAUGAUGGCGACUGAAGGGAGACGACGGCGGCGCUAGCUUUAGCACGAGCCUGAAACUCGGAGCGAGCGCGGUGCAGCCGGAGCGGCGCUCGGGGGGAGGGGGGAGCGGGCGGAAAAG